UACGUAGGGGGCAAGCGUUAUCCGGAUUUACUGGGUGUAAAGGGAGCGUAGACGGUAUGGUAAGUCAGAUGUGAAAGCCCGGGGCUCAACCCCGGGACUGCAUUUGAAACUAUCAAACUGGAGUGCAGGAGAGGUAAGUGGAAUUCCUAGUGUAGCGGUGAAAUGCGUAGAUAUUAGGAGGAACACCAGUGGCGAAGGCGGCUUACUGGACUGUAACUGACGUUGAGGCUCGAAAGCGUGGGGAGCAAACAGGAUUAGAUACCCUGGUAGUCCCUGAG
rnacentral:rRNA from 1 species